AGUCUAGUGGAAGGAGAAAAUGAACGAAGUGGGAGAAAGUCGAGAACAACUUUCUGUAAGGAUGUACAAAGAAGUAGAUUCUCGAUCCCCACUUCUCUACGUCCUUCUAAACGUAAGAGAGCAGAUUGGCUUUACAGUAGAAGUUCAGAUUGAAAAGAGAACUGUGUACAAAAGUUUUGUGAUAUAUGAUGCGUAAUGACGAAUCAUUUGUUCCCAACGUAUUUUUAAUACAUAAGGAAAAAUUGUUAUUGCAAAUGUAUAAAUUGGAGAGUGUAAAUAAGUGUUAGCGUUUAUAUUGUGCUGGUAAUCAAAGAAAUUUCUUGUAGUCGGUAGAGUGCCUUUGGAACAGUUAGUUAGUGCCAUUUUCUUUUUGAGAGAAAAUGUACAACAGUAAUAAAAAGAUUUAUAAGAAGAACGAAAAUGAAAUAUCAGAUUCCGUGAAAAAAAGAUUGCAAAAUCUUCUUAAUGAUGGACGAAAUGCAUCGGUUCAUACAGAUUCAUUGGAUAUUGACUUACCAUCCUUUUACGAUCCGGAAAGGUUUCGUUUAGGCCAACAAGCUUUUUACAAUAACGUCUUCACGAUGAUGAUCGCUAAGUUGUCAGGAUUACUAACUCUUUUCGCAGUACCUACUAUUGUUGAUGUAAUAGUAUUCACCAAACAAAGUAACAUACCGUGUACAGCAUUUCAAAGAUAUGUUUCAACUAUAUUUCAUACAUUUGUGUGGUACGAAAAGGAACCCGAAAAACAAAAAGAAUUUCUUCAGUCUUUAAAAAUCGUUAGGAAGAAACAUUGCGUUGCCUUUCAUAGAAGUUUCAACGCUGGCAUACGUAAAGCUUCGCAAACUGACAUGGCCUUAGCUCAGUUUGGAUUCAUUGGGUUUAUAUUGCUCGGUACCAAAGAACUUGGUAUAUAUACGACUGAUGAGGAAAUGGAUGGUCUCGUACAUUUUUGGCGAGUGAUCGGCUGUGCCCUUGGAAUGGAAGACAAAUACAAUCUCUGCAUGGAAACGGUCGAAGAAACACGUGUACUUUGUUCGAAGAUUUUAGAUGAAAUAUUCUUGCCUUCAUUAGUUAAUAGUAAGAAAAUUUUCAACGAUAUGGGGCAUGUCCUUUUGAAAGGACUUUGGCCCGUUAAUCCAUAUUUGGAUCCACAUGCGUUCACUGCGUUCACUCUACACUUAGCUUCGUCAGUCGCUACUAAUAAUAAUCAUUCUAUUAAUAUAGAUUAUCAAAGCAUGCCGCAAUAUAGUAAAUUCAUUUUUAACCUGCAACUAUUUGUACAUCGAUACCUGAUUGCAACCAACUAUUGGUGGUCCGUUAUAUUUCGCAAGUUCUUCAACAGUCAAAUGCGAUUGGCUAUAUAUUUAACCGAACACUUUCCGUUUCUUGCUUAUUGGUCGUUCGGCGUAAAACAAUCGCACGUUAACAUAUAUCGAUAUAACGUCAAAUGAAUGUGUAAAUUAAAAAGAAAAAAAAUAAUUAACUGUCAUUAUGUAAAAGAUAUCAUCGAAUAUUUAAUCAUAAGAGAACCCAAUCGACUUUGAAAGGCUACGCAAGCAAAAGUAAUAAAAGACAGAAGCAGAAGAAAAAGAAGAAGAAAGAGAGAAAAGAGCUUGUAUCGACAAGAUACGUUUUACGUUGACAUUCUACCAGAAGCAUUUAAAGUUCCUUUCCUUAUUGCAUAUCGUAAUUUCGAAAGAACCUAAUUUCUUUUCGCAAUUCUAUUAAUUCAGUAAGUACUCCUAUAUCUAACACGACCUUCGAUAAUUUUGUCGAACAUUUAACUAUGACGUCACUACACCUAUGUAUCUGUCCAUUUUCUUUUAACAGUUUUUUGUUAAUUUCACCGGGACGAGUGAUACGUCAUAUCACAUCGUGAGUAAAAUUUGUAAAC